rnacentral:rRNA from 1 species
UACGUAGGGGGCAAGCGUUGUCCGGAUUUAUUGGGCGUAAAGAGCUCGUAGGCGGUUCGGUAAGUCAGGUGUGAAAUCUCCACGCUCAACGUGGAGGCGCCACCUGAAACUGCCGUGACUCGAGUCCGGUAGGGGAGUGUGGAAUUCCCGGUGUAGCGGUGAAAUGCGCAGAUAUCGGGAGGAACACCGGUGGCGAAGGCGGAUCUCUGGGCCUUACCUGACGCUGGAGGAGACGAAGCAUGGGGAGCAAACAGG